GAUUUUGUUAUCUGUGCAGGUGUUUGUUCGAUCUUAUUGGCUUCUUCAUAUUUUGCAUUUAAAUUUGGAUUAUUGUUAUUCAUCAAGACGUGGCAGUCUACUCCCCUAUUUUGGGUGUCACGAUCAAAAUAGCAGUAGGACAUCAAGCUACUGAUAUUAAGGUGUUCUUAUGUUUGUUUGGUGGGCUUUCAAGCCACUUGUGUUUGCAUUUUGUCCAAAACUCAUGAAGACUGAAGGUAUGCCUGGAAAAUCUUCAGUUUUAGGGAUCAAAGGAUCAUCUGGCGUAAUUAUGGAAAACAAUGAAUUGUCAGUGUUUUGCUGCUGAUCAUGUUUGCUGUUUUGCCAUCCAGGAUCUUCAGAAGAAUAGCCGGCAUAUCAUAUCAGGCACAUGUGGAGCCAAUUCAGAUCAUAGGCGGUAGAAGCAGUCCGAAGUAAAUCAGGAUGUUGAGUAAUGCUGGGAAUUUACUUGGUGCCCCCAACUGUAAAUGCGGAACUUGCCUAACCAGUGAUGGAACUAUGAAUCUCCUUGGAAGCAACAGAUUGAGUUGGGGGAAAGGUGUGGUUGACUGAGGCAGUCUUCUGCCACUGCAACAGACACACAAGAAUGGCACUGUUCGGUGGAUGCAGUUUGAACUGUUACUCGUGUUGCCCCUCCUUCGGUUCUUCCUUGGAUGCAGUCUACUUAAGAUAGUCCCAUCUCAGAUGGAUUUUGGUACACCUUCAUACUGUGCAUGCUGUACGAUGCAGAUAUAACAUGGAAUGGAAGGUACCAGCUGCCUGCCAGCCUUUUGAUGGCACUCACAACUUGUCUAUUCACAUUCAUAUCGUGCGUGUGAUGGUCAGGAACCAGGCUGCAUCUUCUGAAGAAAUCAACACUUCUCAUGUUGUUAACUGAAGAAAUUGACAGCCAGCGAUUGGCGCCAAAUUGGGUGGGCUCAUCGUCGACUGUCCGACCUCUAUCCAACAGCAACUUACCGCCUUGCCCCUAGUUACGACACACACCACCCUGAAGAGUGCAUCCAACGGCUCUGAAGAUUGGAGUUGUCGCCAUUUGAAUUAUUACAGUCUCCUUGUUCACCUGCUUUACAUUAGCUUUAAAGUUGAGAUUGCCUUUCACUGGUUGUAAAGGGUAUAAAACCCCUGAUCUAUCUGUGAGCCCUGUACUAGGGGUAAACCCUAGCCGCCAUGUCCUGAAGAGCGUAAACGGUAUCCUUAAUUUGCUAGUAUAUAUUUCUCCCGUAAUCAUCCUCUGAAUUCACUUAGCUAGCUACUUGGUGUGAUCUGAGAGUGAUUUGGUUUUCUCAACU